rnacentral:rRNA from 1 species
CAUAGUAUUAUUGGAUGGCAUCAUUUGAUAGUUAAAACUGAGGUGGUAUAGGAUGGGCAUGCGUCUGAUUAGUUAGUUGGCGGGGUAAUGGCCCACCAAGACGAUGAUCAGUAGGGGGUUCUGAGAGGAAGAUCCCCCACACUGGCACUGAGAUACGGGCCAGACUCCUACGGGAGGCAGCAGUAGGGAAUAUUGGUCAAUGGAUGCAAGUCUGAACCAGCCAUGCCGCGUGCAGGAAGAAGGCCUUCUGGGUUGUAAACUGCUUUUGCCAGGGGAUAAAAUUUCCAUGCGUGGAAAACUGAAGGUACCUGGUGAAUAAGCCACGGCUAACUACGUG